rnacentral:rRNA from 1 species
CCUACGGGCGGCAGCAGUGGGGAAUAUUGCACAAUGGGGGGAACCCUGAUGCAGCGACGCCGCGUGAGUGAAGAAGUAUUUCGGUAUGUAAAGCUCUGUCAGCAGGGAAGAAGAAAGACGGUACCUGACCAAGAAGCCCCGGCUAACUACGUGCCAGCAGCCGCGGUAAUACGUAGGGGGCAAGCGUUAUCCGGAUUUAUUGGGUUUAAAGGGUGCGUAGGCGGAUCGUUAAGUCAGUGGUCAAAUUGAGGGGCUCAACCCCUUCCCGCCAUUGAAACUGGCGCUCUUGAGUGGAAGAGAAGUAUGCGGAAUGCGUGGUGUAGCGGUGAAAUGCAUAGAUAGCGCGCAGAACCCCGAUUGCGAAGGCAGCAUGCCGGCUUCCGACUGACGCUGAAGCACGAAAGCGUGGGGAUCGAACAGGAUUAGAGACCCUUGUAGUC